GAGACAGCAGUAGCCACGGUAAUACAGAGGGUGCGAGCGUUAAUCGGAUUUACUGGGCGUAAAGCGUGCGUAGGCGGCUAAUUGAGUCGGAUGUGAAAUCCCCGAGCUUAACUUGGGAAUUGCAUUCGAUACUGGUUAGCUAGAGUGUGGGAUAGGAUGGUAGAAUUCCAGGUGUAGCGGUGAAAUGCGUAGAGAUCUGGAGGAAUACCGAUGGCGAAGGCAGCCAUCUGGCCUAACACUGACGCUGAUGUACGAAAGCAUGGGGAGCAAACAGGAUUAGAUACCCCAGUAGUCCCUGUCUCUUAUAC
rnacentral:rRNA from 1 species